AGGGAAAGAGGGGGGCAUGCCUUACACAUGCAAGUCGAACGGCAGCACGGACUUCGGUCUGGUGGCGAGUGGCGAACGGGUGAGUAAUGUAUCGGAACGUACCUUUCAGUGGGGGAUAACGUAGCGAAAGUUACGCUAAUACCGCAUAUUCUGUGAGCAGGAAAGCAGGGGAUCGAAAGACCUUGCGCUGAUUGAGCGGCCGAUAUCAGAUUAGCUAGUUGGUGGGGUAAAGGCCUACCAAGGCGACGAUCUGUAGCGGGUCUGAGAGGAUGAUCCGCCACACUGGAACUGAGACACGGUCCAGACUCCUACGGGAGGCAGCAGUGGGGAAUUUUGGACAAUGGGGGCAACCCUGAUCCAGCCAUGCCGCGUGAGUGAAGAAGGCCUUCGGGUUGUAAAGCUCUUUCGGCCGGGAAGAAAUCGCAUAGGCUAAUACCCUGUGUGGAUGACGGUACCGGAAUAAGAAGCACCGGCUAACUACGUG
rnacentral:rRNA from 1 species